rnacentral:lncRNA from 12 species
GUAGUCCUGAGGGGAUGGCAAGAAUGAGUUGGGAGUCAAAUGGCUUGGCGUGGCUGAUGAAGAAUAAACUUUUGAGUUCCAGAGAGCAGCCUGAGAGGGAAGAGGAGAAAAAUCAGAGCAAAUGGGGAGAGAGGAGCUGAGCUCAAGGGUAAGGACAAGGUGGGUGGGGGGACCCUGUGCGGAGAAGCCUGUGAAAACUUCCUGUUGUUGGGAAUGGCUGGAUCAGUGGAACAGGGAGAUGGGAUGUUCGCGGGAGUUCGUCCUGCAGUGUUCCCCUCUCUAUCAGCACCAUCCUGCUGUCCUUGGAAAAUGAACCUGAGCUGUGGUUUAGGUCCUACCUGAGGCGGGAGAGACUGAGGGAGGGAAGAGUCGGGCGCCAGGCCCAACUGCCCAGGAAUUGAGCCGCUCCAAGCGAGUGAGGUGUUGACUGGAACCAGGGGAGGCAACAGGUUCAAGGGAGACCCGGGCAUCAGGGCCAGUCGGAGUGGGAGCCAAGUGGAGGGAGGGCGAGACCUUCACAGGAGGGACGAGGUCAGACAGUUGGGGCGGCGCUGGGCAGGAGGGAGUGAAGGGGGUGGAGAGCGAGGGGCGGUCACGUUGAGAAUGAGAUGCUGGAGCUUCCUUCAGGGACUUCGCUCGGCAGAAGAGCGGGUCGGGAGGGAGAAGGAGCCUCCGGGGAGAACGGAGAGAAUCGCUUGAAGGAGAGGAGGUCUUGGCCAUUGCUAAACCGCAGAGACCUGGGAAUAAGUGAAAGGGUCCUGGCGCGCCUGAUCCAGCGUCUGCAGUUCAGUUCGGCCCACGGCCGCGCAGCAAGCACCUUGGUGGGCUGGACCCGCAGCACACGGACCGCCGAGGCUGUCCCAGGACUGGUUUCCAAAUUUAUCAAGGUUCUUUCUGCCUCCUGUUUGCUUGAGCUGACCCACCCUGAGUCAAUACACCAGGUUGGUUUAUGGGCUUUUUUUUUCUUCUCAAGCAUUCCACUGUCAUGGCGCCUUUUGUCCUUGUGGCGUAUCUUGUCCUGCAUCUCAGCUUCAGAGCAAUGUAAAAUAGUUGUCACGCCCUUCUACCUACCAUGUUCUGUCACCCCCUGCUAGAAAGAUGAGCCUGAUGACUAGAAAGCCUGACUCAAGUGCAAAUCCAUGGCACUGCUGAUCCUACCUGCCACAGAUUUUUAAAGUGCAGGCAGCUUGCUUUGCUAAAGGCAUCGGACACCUGGGUCAAGGACAAAGCCCACCAAUGUGACUUUGUGCUCUAGGCUGCCUGUUGGUCCUGAGGUUGCUCUUGGAGUUGGCACCAUACAAAGUUGUUCAUCUCCGAAGUGCUCAAUUUGAUUUUUAUUAUUUUAUAUUCCUAAAUUUUUGACAAUUGUGCAUCAAGGGGCUUUCAAGUUAGCUGAAUUCUAUGGCAGCUUCCAGCAUCCUGCUCCUGGCGAACAUUUUUGCCUGUUGAAAGGAUCCUGCAGCUACAGGCAGACUCUGACCAUCUACCAACAGGCUCACUGUCAAUCCUGAGCUAUGUGAUGACUGUAAGGUGACCUGAGUUUUUAUAUAUCUUGUGAGACCUCUAUGGGAACACAGUCAUAACGAUACAGCAGUUCCCAUCUUGAGUACUGUUGAUAGUACUGUUGACUGAUUUUAUUUCCUAUUAAUAUGAACUAGACUCUUGAUGACCCAAAACAAACAUAUUCACAUGUUCCUUGUUUCAUGUAAAAGCAAAACUUCAAAACGUAGAUCAAAUAAACCAAGAUCUGUUAUGCUUCUGUGCA